CACACGACUCUCGGCAACGGAUAUCUCGGCUCUCGCAUCGAUGAAGAACGUAGCAAAAUGCGAUACCUGGUGUGAAUUGCAGAAUCCCGCGAACCAUCGAGUUUUUGAACGCAAGUUGCGCCCGAGGCCUUUUGGUCGAGGGCACGUCUGCCUGGGCGUCACGC
rnacentral:rRNA from 2 species